UUAUUCCUCUGUUUAUCAUUUUUGUACUGAAACUUUUUCCUCAUUAGUUUGAACAAGAACAAUUCUCAUCAAUGGUCAUCAGGAUAGAGCUACUAGGGGAUAAACUUCAUAAUCUGCAAACGCCCAUCACGAUGAUUUUCAGAACUUUUACAAUCGCAGAUAUGGACAAUGACUCAAGGUUACAGUGUCACUACUUUGAUGAACAUGAUUAUGUCUGGAAAACAGAUGGAUGUAAGACGUACAACGGAACCAGUAGUAACCAAACUGACAUUAUUUGC